rnacentral:rRNA from 1 species
CCUACGGGAGGCAGCAGUGGGGGAUAUUGCUCAAUGGCGGGAACUCUGAUCCAGCGACGCCGCGUGAGGGAAGAAGGUUUUCGGAUUGUUAACCUCUGUCUUCGGUGACGCAACGAGCCGGUAGCCGAGGAGGAAGCCACGGCUAACUACGUGCCAGCAGCCGCGGUAAUACGUAGGUGGCAAGGGUUGUCCGGAGUUACUGGGGGUAAUGGGAGCGUGGGAGGGAAAGCAAGUUGAAUGUUUAAGGUACGGGCUCAACCUGUACAAGCGUUCAAAACUGUGUUUCUUGAGUGGAGUAGAGGUAAGCGGAAUUCCUAGUGUAGCGGUGAAAUGCGUAAAUAUGAGGAAGAACACCAGUGGCGAAGGCGGCUUACUGGGCUUUAACUGACGCUGAGGCUCGAAAGCGUGGGUAGCAAACAGGAUUAGAUACCCCUGUAGUC